GAGCGCAGGUAUAUUUGAGAAGGCCUGACGUGAGGGGGAGGUAUGCACGCGCAAGGCCUGGGGCAGAGAGGGGAUCUAAAGCGUACUUAAGAAGGCCAAGUUGCUAGUAAGUAGUUGGCGUCAGCGGUUGGGAGGGAGAGUGAAGGUGCGCAUGCGUAUUGGAGACAACAUUGUGACGGUUGGCUUUAACGGUAGGAGGGGGAGAGGCGCGCAUGCGUAUUGCAGACGGAAUGUCGGAGAGGGGAGGCGUGCAGUGUACGUGUAAUUAAGAUUGCAAAAUGGCGAGGGGGGAGGUGACACCAAACACAAUCAGAAAUCAUGCCAGUGGUGAAGAGGUAUAUUGAGCCCUGCCUGGUCCAGUGAGGCUACUAGAGAAUUGGAAGAGGCUCAAAUCAGCAUUCUGCACGUGGUUAUCAAACCAUUGUGAAGUUUUGGUGGGGUGAAUUGGAUAUCUUGCCCAAGAUUAUAGCUAGUUGGUGUAGAAAAUGGAUUUGAAUCCAAGCCAGUACUGUGUCUUCUACCAGUGCUUCCUCUAGAUUCCAUCUAAGCCCAAGGGUGCCGUGUGAGACAGAAAUAUUUUUAUUCCAUGCCAAAAGAUUUUUAUAAUAGCCUCUGAGAUUGUGCUCCCCUGAUGAAGGAAAUUUCCAUGGUGUAAAAUUUUAUUAAGCAUAAAAUCACCUGGGAUGCUUGUUAAUAAUGCACAUUCCUAGGCAGGCAGAAACCUUGUCAUUGGUCAAGAGCAACACUAAGACUACCUGUCUCCUAUGUUGAGGCUUCCUGCCUGGUGGGUUCACUAGCGAGCCAGAAUGAAUCACUAUUGCCAUGGAUGUCCUUCUGAGGCAGCUGGGAAGCCUUGGCUGAAUUGUGAAAGAUAUCUUUUAAAAGCAUUUUAGAGUCCACCGGAUCUUCCACGUGAGUGAACAUGCAGCAGAAGAGGGAGUCCUUUCAGUGAUUAAGGGACAGAGAGAUUGUUGGGAGCCAACCUGCCGUCAAGUCAACUCCUUUGCCCCAGAUGUCUCUUUCCAGGUUCAGCUUUGGAAAUUCAGGCCCUGCUACCUUCAGGUCUUCAGUUUCCAUUUGACUUCCCAUCUCAUCCACUGACAAUUGCAGAGUUAAGUCAGCUUCAGAAGAACUGGUGCAUCUCAGAAGAUGGUUGAAAUUGAUCCAAAUCCUUUGAGGCCACUGCUACCACCAGAGCUGUUCUGGGUUGGACAAUACCCCUCCCAAGCCUCAAGUUGACUGCCUGGAAUUUUGUCUAUUAGCAGAACAUUAGGUAUUAAGAGCUGCCAACUAUGGGUUGAGUGGUUCUGGAGGUACCGUUGCUUGCCAUAUUAUGAAACCAUAGAUCCAUGACUUGUUAUACUGCCCAUGUUGACUUAAUCACUUGAUCAAAAAGCGUAUCCCAGAAUUUUACAUGGUUCUUUCAUGACUGUUCAUUGGAGAGUCUUGCCACUGCUACUUCUCUGCUAGAUCAUUAUUUAGCCCAGCUGUAUUAUGGGAUCAUCUUUUGACUUAAUGGUGUCACUGGAAAACUUACAUCUCCUAGUGGAUGAAAAUAUUUCAAUGGAGACUUUUAGAAACUACUUGUCAAGUUCUCACCACAAAUACCAUUGAAAUUGCAAUUGGAGUGGCAUUGAAUGUAUAGAUUAAUUUUUGGAGAGAUGUCGUCUUUAUAAUCUUCGCAUACAUAUGAAUGUGCUUCUCUCUACUGCCUUUUGAGCUGCCAGGCACUGUGCUGGGUGAUGGGGAUAUGGAGAAGAAUUAGACACAGUUCCUGCCCUCAAGGAGUUCUCAGUCUAGUGAGAGAGUUCAACGUGUACACAGAUAAUUGCAACAGUAUGGUAUGCUCUACAAUGGAGGUAUGUACAAGGUGCUAUGGGGUUCAGAAGAGAAAUCAUUUGAUUGAGUCUGGAGAUGCCAGAGGUUGGAGGAACUGAUGCUUACGUUGAUUCUUAAAAAAAAGUAAAGUUUGACCAGGCAGAAAACAAAGAGAAUGACCUUCUAAGCAAAGACAUGGACAUUGGAAAUAGGAUGAUGAAUUGGAACUACAAGUAGUUCAUGAAAUUAGCUUGGAAAUGUAGACUGGGCAUAGAUCCUUAUAUAUUAUGCCAUGAACUUUGGGUUUCAUUUUGAGUGUUUUAAGAAGGGGAUGCUUUUGAUGGUCACUCUGGCAGUAGUAUAGAGUUCUGGAAGAUUUUCAAAUCUAGACAGGGAGAUCAGUUAGAAGGAUACUAUAGUAGUUAAGAUGAUAAAUGAUCUAAGGCCAGAAGGAGUGGGAGUAGAGAAGAAGGGAUUACCUCCUAAAUAAGAGGUUAUAAAAACAGACAUAAUAGAACAUGAGAAAAUUAAGGUUGAGAAGAGCGAAAAAUCAAGGCUUUCAGACUUUGGCAAAUGUGCAUCCCCCUACCCCACCCUGGCCUUGAUGAAAGAUCCUCUUAUGUUCUUUAGAUGGGCGUUGCCAUUGGUUCCUUCUGGGCCAGGCCUUGACUGCACAGAUUUUGGAAGUUUCUUUUUGGGGGACAGCCGUUUAAGAAAUGUUGAUUCUCAGGAAGACGUCUGAACAGCUGCAGACCUCUUAUAGUAUUACUAAGUUCCCGGUCUUUAGCAGCAGCAGGCCUACUCUCACUGUCACGUCUCCCAGAGGAUUUUUACCAAAAGUGGAGGCGUUUAUAUCUAAAACCCACUCAGGGAAGAAAUGGCCUUAGUUGUUAUUGUCUCAAUUGCUUUAUUUUGCUUAGAGAUUUAUAAACGUUUAUGGUUACACCUCCAAGGAAAAAAUAUGUUCAAUAAUUAAAAAUCUAAACAUAUCCAUUGUUUAUUUUCUCUUUUCUCAAAGCAAUAUAAACACAAUGUUCUUUGGGAAAUUCUCCACUUAAGGCUCAGAGUAGUGACCCUGGGGAUUCAGAGAAUGGCUUUCUGUGACUAGAAUGAUUAAUGGUAGAUUAUAUUUAAGUAAACCUGAUGUAUUUUCGGUGGGCCUUAUGUAACUAUCCAUCCGGAGGGCAGUAGGGGAAAGGGUGGGAGAGGAAGCCCUGAGCAGGACAGCAAAGCAGUUUAGUGAGAGUUUGGGCCUUGGGACUAGAUAGCCUGAGCUCAGAUCUGCUCCCAUAUUUACCAAUGUGGUCUUGAGCAUGGUUUUUCACUUCUUUGGGACUUUGUUUCCUCUUAUUUAAUAGGAGUAAUAAUAUCUUUUUGCAGUGAUUGGAGGGGGCGAAUGUAAGAAUUUAAUGGGAUUACGUAAAUUGCUUAGAACAGGUCUGGAAUAUGCUAAAUGCUGUAUCAACUAUAGUUGCCGCUGAUAAUGUUGACCAUGACAAGGAUUAAAAGAAGAUAGUUAACUAGAAUUGCUUCUAUUUUACAUCAUCAGUGAAGAUGUUGGGGUUUAAGAAAGAAAGAAAAACAAACUGACAUCAAGAUUUUCAAUGGUAUGCUAGUGUGAAUUCAUUUCUCUGCCUUUCUUUUUUUUUCUUUGCCAAAUAGGUUGGGAAACCAGAUGAAUUUUGUCUAUGUCCUGAUCAUUAAUCUGUUGCCUUUGCUCUUAUUUUCAAAUAGAAAGCUGUGAAAAGUUGUGUUACACAUGAAUAAAGGUUAUCCUAAAAACGUAGAAAAAUGUUUUCGAGUUGGUCAAAACUGAAUUUGAAACCUGACUCGACUGCUUACUAGCUGUGUGAUCUAAGGCAUGUUACUUAACCUCAUUGAACCUCACUUCAUCUAACAUGAUAAUUAAUUUGCAGGGUUUCCAUGAGGAUAUUUGUAAAGUGUAUCUCAUAAGUGCUCUAUAAAUUACAGCUAUCAUUGUUAGUUCUUGGGACACUCACCGUGUGACAGAAACAACAGCAGGCCCUGGUGGCUGGGAGGACUUCAUGGAUCCAACAGCAACCUGGAGUUAUGCUCUUCUGAAGAAAUCCUACUCGGAUGGAUAUAAUACAACCUGCUAAGUGUCCUAGCACUUAUCAGGUUGUAUUAUCAUUGUCCGUGUCUAUGGCUCUCGUCUACCAGACUCUAAAUUCCUUACGUGCAAGGACAGUGCCUUAUUCAUCUUUGUAUUCGCAGUGCCUAAUCCAGUGCACAUUGUAGGCCUCAUUAAAUGUUUGUUGAAUGAAAAAAUGAAUCAUCAACAGACAUUAAUUGGGCGCCUGCUCUGUGAUCUCCAUGAGCUCAGCUUGUCCCCGCCAGUUGCCUACAACGAACAAGCUGUCUUCAAUAUGCUUGCUCCUGAAGCUUACUCCUAUCUUCUAAUUCUUUUGCUGAGGACUUUUCUGUGUAGUGCAAGGAUAGCAAAUAUAUUUCAUCUCAAGUACUAUCUCCAAUUGAUUGAUAGUGCCUGCCUUGAUUAUGUCUUAUAAAAAGGAUUCUGAAGCCAGGUCUCAGCUCAGUGUGAAAGAGGGUUAUAACUAAUUAGUGAUGUUUGCUGAGGGUGGGAGAAGGGGGAGUAGCAGCACAAGUGCCACAUAUAUGUGAUUUAAUAUUGUGUUUUCCAUGAAAUACUGUUUCUAUGCCUGCAUUUUAGUCUUGGCUACUUGUAGAUGUUGCGUGGCUGCUGCUGCUGCUGCUGCUGCUGCUGCUACUACAAUUGCUGCCAGUUGCUCCUUGGGUAGGACCAGAGUGAUCAUUGAUCAGAAACUUCAUCCUCACAGUCUUGGAUUUGCUCCUGUGGCUGAUAUUCACAGUUUUCCCCUUUCAACUUUACCUCAGCUGUAUCCCUUUACUACACUGACAGGUAGGCCUCCACUUUCUGUUCACUGCUCAAGAGGCUCACAUUUCCUUUUUCUUCUUUAGUGUGAUUAAUCAUUAUUGCUCUAUGAGAAGUCUUCUUUCUGUGAGAUGUGACAACUAGAAUACAAGUUAACCAUUCCAGGGCCCUACAAUGAGUCAUAUAAGCUCCUUUUUAAUAUGGGAGAAAAUUGAGUAUACUUUCAGACUGUGGGGCAGGAAGAACUGAGAAGGGAGGCAUUGUAGAUGUGGGAGAGAGAGAUGAUAACAGAUGAAAUAAGAUCCUGAAAGAUGAUGCAGGUAGAGAUAGGAAGGCAAAACCUAUGGCUCUAGGACAUGGGUGGAGGGUUAGUCUCAGAUGAAAGGAAUUACCUCUUCACUGGAGCAUAGAGAUAGGGAUAGGAGUUAAGGAAGAGUACUUGAUAAGGGUGUUGAAGAUUUGUGAUAAGGGUGUUGAAGAUUUGUAAUUGUAGAGGUAGAUAAUGGAGAGGAAGCUGACCAGGGACGGGAUUAUGAAGACAAAUCAGAAUCUUUAAGAAAUAUCCAGGCCAAAAGGCUGGAGUGGGGCUAUUACCAGGAGAGCUUAUAGUAUAUCAAAGUGAGAAUCUAGUUUGAAAUUUGAUUAGAAACUCAGGAAAAUAUAAAGUAAUCUUGGGCCAUUGUCACAAGUAACAUUUGGUUGCCUGUAAUUUACCUUGAUUGAGGAGUGGACAGCCAGCAAGAGAGAGGUUACACAGAAAUGGACUUGAGAAGCCAGACUGUAUGGAAGAAAGGUGGAAGUGAGCUCAGAGUCUGUGUACAAAAAGAGGCCUUAAUGUGAUCAAGAUGGGUGUUGAGUAGUUGGAAAACUGGAAUGAUAGGACCUGUAAUCAGAGAGUAGGUUUUGGAAUGUUAAGAUUUCAAAACUGGAAUGAUCAAGAUACCUGGGAAACUAGGAUGUCAGAUGGUCAUGUACAUGGAUAUUGAGGUGACCCAGGACUACAGCAGAAGCUGGGCCGGGAAUGAACACUGUGGGCCAGGUACGAUAGGCUUCAGUGAGGAAUGAUCUGGAGGUUGGCACAUGGCAACUGCAGAUCCAAGAGAAGAGAGGAUGUAGUGGGAUAGUACGAGCCUGAGAAGAGUGGUGGGGAUUAUUAGGAGAUACAAAAACUAUGGUUUGUACAUUGCACUGAGGUGUUGACUGGCAGAAUGCCCAGCUAAAAUGAUCCCCUCCUUUAUUGAGUGCUUGCUCUAUGCCCGGCACCUUGCUAUGUGGGUCUGUCACAUUUCAGGUGUGAGAGGAUGAGCAGCAAUCCUAGGCAAGGACAGCUAGGGGAGCUGCUGGCCCUUAGCACUGAUGGAAUCCUGUGGCCAUCUCCUAACUCUUUGAAAGAUCAGCGGACUGGUCAGCUUGAAGUGGCAUAAAAAGAUUUCUUCAGGAUCAGAAUUUUUCCUUGACCUUGACCUAACGUCAUCACAUGGUACAAACUUUUUUUUGGCUAUGUUCCACAAUGUAUUUUGGCUUCUGAGUCUCUGAGUUGAGAAGUGAGCUAGUACUGCUGUUGGAAAAAACUAGGCACUGUACUUUAAAAACACACAUAUUGAUUAACUAGAACAAGACACAUUGAGCUUUUAAGAUGAAGGGUAGACAAAGCUCACAUCAAUGGGUGAAUAACAAAACCACUUUGUAAAAGCUCUUCUAGGGUCAGGAUACAUCCAGUUUAGUGGCCAUAUUGUAGAUGUUUCCUGUGCUGUUGGGAAGGAGGGCUAGAAAUUGAUGUGGAGAGAUGGCCCUUGGACUUGGAAGGUAAAGUUUAGGAGAAGAGAGUCUCUGUGAACCCUCUGACAUUGCAUAUAGUCGUUUUUCUUCUGUUAUAGUCUUUAAAUGAGUCAAUAUUCUAAUCAAGGUUUAGAGCCACUGCCUUAGUGACCAGGCCCUCAGACAGCCCAACCCCUCCUGUGGGGGCUGCUUUAUAUUUAUUCCUCAGGAGGAGCUGGUAGAAGACUUCAUGUGAGGGAGAAGAAAAGGAAAGGAGCAGAGGGUGACUGCAGCCUCUCUGCAUCUCAGCUUCACAAAGCAUGACUCAACAGAGGGAUCACUCCUGAGACUCUCCAGACCACAUGUUGCUCUUUUCAAUCUCAUGCGUAGCCCUCUCAGCUCCUUUCUUUUUUCAGAAGUUGUACUGUAUGUGUGUAUAUGAACUGUUACUUCCCAUAAAGAGCAUUCCAUGUUCACAGCAAAGAAAAUCCUUAUAAUAUGGCAUAAUACUUGCCCUGUUAGGCCUCCAACAGUCAAAAAUUGCUGAGUCUCCAAUGCUGGAAUAUAAGCUACCAGAGAUGAGUUUGAGUUUUAGCAACAAAGAACCCCAGCUUCAUGGAAGGAAAACAGUCAAUUGACUUGAAAGUAACCCCUAUCUCUGUGCUCAUAUUCUUUCUUUUUCCUUCAGCCCCAUGAAUAAGGUAUCACCGAUGAAAGCAAAUAAAAGCCAUGACUUCCUCUGGCACUUUUCUAGCCCAUGUAUAUGUCCUUGGGAGUCACUCUAUUUCAUUAAUACUUCCUUCUUCACAUCUCUUAAGACCCAGAGAGGCAUGGAUGCUAAGGUUGGGGUUGAAUUUGUCAUAGUUGCCUCUGAAUUUGGACAAUACUCACGUUAAUCAACCUGAUACCCACUCCUACCUGAUCUCAUAGCAGCCACGGGAGAAGCUGUAGCCAAGGCCAACAACCCUACUGACUCCAGCCUCAGGAUUUACCCCUGAUGUCUCACCUGAUUAUGAAACAGCAGUAGGAGAGCUUGCCCCAACCCAACCCCCCCUUCUGACUUGGUCAUCAGAGAUUAGGACUUGUCUUAAGAUUUAUGGUAUAUAAGGACAGAAAUCUUAUGUCUUAAUAGGAAACAAUAUCAGGGGCCCUGGUUACAUUUUGUCUGUUUUGGGAGUGGGCAGAAUAGGGCAUGGGGGAAGUGGAAAGUCUUGUGCCUUUCAAAUACCUUCUUAGUGAUUCCUCAGGACACCCUUGGUCACACCUUCUGGUGCCUUAUCCUGAGCCUUGCCUCUCCUUUCUUCCGAGUCCUUCUAGUGCACUCCUUGCUCUUACUAACCACCUUUCAUUUCCUGCCCCACCCUGAUAGGUUUCAUCAGGUGUUUUUUCCUUUCCUUCACCCAGGCCAUAUGUCUGGGACAGCCCACAUCUGGGAGGAGCCUUAUUGUGAAUGAGUGAAUGAAGUCGCAGUGAGUGUUGGGAGUGACACCCAUGUUUCUCUCUGGAUAUAAGGAGAGAGAAGGAGUGGAGGGCAGAGAGGAAGAAGAGGGAGGCUAUGAAAUCCCAUAAUGGAGUAACAAAUGCUUGACAUUUUAGUGGAUAUUGGACCUGGAAGCCUACAUGAAUGAAGGAAGCAAACCUGAGAUCCCUGAUGUUUGUGAGUGAAAAUAGGAUUGAACUUACUGCCAUUAGGAAUGGUGGGAGGGAGAAGAGGAAAGUGAGGGAGGUCGUAAAAUCCUUUCAAAGAGGAUGCACUGAGACUUGCUUCAUAACCCGUAAUUUUUUAAGGUAGAUGGAAGAUAAGUUGUUGCACUGCACUACUUUGUUGCUACUUGUGAGAGUCACUGCCAGCCACUCUUCUCAGGUAGGGCUGCAUUUGUGGAGAUUUUUGUUGACCUUUAUUGAAAAACAUCCCAGUACAAGGUUUGCAACUUAGAAGAACUGUGGUUCAGUGACAGGGUGUUAAAGGGAGCAACGACAGAGGAGAUAGCACAAGUAGUACCAAAUAGCUCAGUUUUUUGUUUUUAAUAGGAUGGAUGGGCCAGAGACAGUAAGCAGAAUGGCUCCAGGCAACCCCAAACACCAGAUAUGACAUAAAGAAACAGUACAAUGAAAGGUCAAUGCUUCUAGCUGUUAUUUGUCAUUCCCCAGAGUGUGAUGGAAUAUCUAAAAUAAAAAGAAGAGCUGCUUUGGAGAAGGAUUAUAAAAGAUUCUUUCAUAGAAGAGAUUUAGAAGAGGGGAAAAUUCCAAUUACGUAAGAUGGAUAUUACAGCUUUUAAAGACAUCUAUUCUCUACAUGGGUCAUGGAGAUUGAUACCAGUAUCAGCUUGUGGCUGACUAGAGCAGUUUAACUUAGAGGUUUCAUGCUUUUGGAGAGAUGCUACCAAUCUCUCUCGCUUUGACAGGUGUUCAUCUGCAAUGAGUCCAGUACCUGAAGGAGCAGGAGGACAACAAGCGUCCAGGGAACAAAAGUAUAGCCUUCUAAGUGAAGAUAGCAACUGAAAAGAUCGUGGGCUUGGCUGGAUUAGGCUGGUCUUGUUUGUUUUUUCAAAAUAAGAAACUUUUUUUCUUGAUGAUAAAAGUAACAACUGAUUGGUAAAAAAUUAAGUGAAAGGUAUAAAUUAAAAAUUAAAGAAUACCUAUAAUCUUAUAACCCAGAAAACAGUAACUCAGAACAUUAGAGUGUUUUCUUUUACACUUUUAUAAAAAAUGUGUAUAACAAAAUUUAAAAACAAAAUUGACUUCAUAUUGUAUAUAUUCUUCAACUUUUUUCAUUUGAAAAUAACUAAGCAUAUUUCCAUGUCAUUGGCAUUCUUUGAAAACACAAUAUUAGGUGUUACAUAGUAUUUCAUAUGGAUCUAACAAAAUUUAUUUAGAUGAUCCCAUACUGCUGGACAUUUUGGAUAUUACCAGUUUUGCCUAUAAAAUUAAAAUGUAAUGAACAUCAUUGUACAUUAAUCUUUAUGUGCAUCUCUAAUGAUUUCUUCAGAAUAAAUUUGUAUAAUUAGAAUUACUGAGUUUGAAUGAUGAGAGCAUUAUUAGGGUACCUGGACGGUUCUUGAAUUGUCCUCAAUAUAAUUGUACAAAUUACAUUCCCAUCAGUGGUAUAUAAAUGUGUAUAUUUUUACACACAUUCAUCAAAACAUGGCCUUUUUAAAAUCUGUGCUCAUUUGAUAGUCAAAAACAUAUUUGUUGGUUUAGAGAUUUUUAUUUCUAAUUUACAUACAGUAAAAUUCAGUCUUAUGGUGUAUAAUUCUAUGGGUUUUGACAAAUACAGAGUCACGUAUUCUUCCAUUCCAGUACCAUACAGAACACUUUUAUCACUAGUAAUUUUUCUCGAUUGCUCUUUUUGUUGUCAACCUCUUUACCCAUUCCCAAGCCCUAGAAACCACUGAUUUGUUCUUGAUCCCUAUGGUUUUGCCUUUCCCAGAAGAUAGUAUUAAUGGACUCAUGCAAUAUGUAGACCUUUUGGUCUAGCUUCUUUCACUUAGUAAUAUGCAUUUAAGAUUCAUCCAUGUUGUUAUGUGUAAUAACAGUUCAUUCCUUUUUAUUGUUGUACUUUAUUGUUUGGAUGUACCACAGCUUUUUAUCCAUUCACUAAAUGAUGGACAUUUGAGAUGUUUCCAGUUUUGGUGAUUAUGAAUAAAGUUGCUAUAAACUUUCGGAUAA